rnacentral:rRNA from 1 species
GACGAACCGAGCGAACGUUGUUCGGAAUCCCUGGGCUUAAAGGGCGCGUAGGCGGGCCGCCGCGUCCGGGGUGAAAUCCUCCCGCUCAACGGGAGAACGGCCUCGGAUACGGGCGGCCUGGAGGGGGGUAGGGGCGUGCGGAACUGUGGGUGGAGCGGUGAAAUGCGUUGAUAUCCACAGGAACUCCGGUGGCGAAGGCGGCACGCUGGACCCCACCUGACGCUGAGGCGCGAAAGCCAGGGGAACGAACGGG